rnacentral:lncRNA from 1 species
ACGAAACAUACUUUGCAAAGGAGAACAAAGAACAAUAAAAUCCCAAAAUCAUAAAAACCAAGAUCUAUAGAGAACAAGAAGAACCCUAAUCAUACAAAAUCCAGAAUCUUAAUUUAGAACCCUAAAUCGAAAAAAAACUCUGAAUCUCUCAUCAAAUCAGGUUGAGCCGUCGCCGUUCUUGAUAUUUUUUGCUCGGUAACUAUGGAAAAGUGAAGGUUUUGUUUGGUAUUCAUGGAGGACGACAGGUUAUGAAGAAAGAAGAAGGAAGAUAAGUGAUUUUCACAGAGAAGAACAAGAAAAUCGCAGAGAAAAGAAAGAGAAAUCGCAGAGAAAAGAAAGAGAAGAAGCGUAAGAAAAAAGAGGAGA